GUCAGAGUAGCUCAGAGGCAGAGCAUACGUUUCAUAAGCGUGAGGCCGCGGGUUCGAAUCCCGCCUCUGACA
rnacentral:tRNA from 1 species